GACAGAUGGAAUAAUACAAUGCCGCAUUGAUAUAAUACAUAUAAACUGCUCCAUAUAGUUUUCUAGAGAUACGCAUCGUCGCAGUACAAAUUGAACGCACCAUAUGUUGCAGAUUGUCGAUAAGAAACUCGUUGGCUUACCAGGGACGCUUCGGGAGAUCAGCAGAGACGAUGGUUUCAUUCGUGGGAAGGAGACCCUCGUCGGCUACUCGUCAGGCGACAUGGCAGGGUUGGCCAUCGGCAUGAUCAUUCUGGGCGGCUUAAUUGGCUACGGAGCAAUUUACUUUUAUCUAAAGAAGCAAUAGUUCUAACCCGUUGAGGUUUUAUGGAAGUAGCAUUAAAUAGCACUAGCAUUAAAUUUACCAAUUCCCGUACUGUACAUUGUAAAUCGUGAGAAAUAUUUAACUUCCUUGAAUGUAAUUAGACUGACCUUCUUGCUUUUAAGCUGAUGAAAAUCAUUGCUUGUUUUAUGUAUAAUUUAGAAUAGAGGCCUCCUAGUCAUCAAAUGCAAACGGAGCUCCGUACUGGUUUACAACAUAUGAAAAAAAUGUAUAAUACAAACAAACACCCACACAUAUCUGUAUCUCCCUAUGUAUUUACCUAUAUAUCUAUACAUCUAUAUAUCUAUAAGUCUAUAUAUCUAUAUAUCUAUAUAUCUAUAUAUCUAUAUCUGUAUCUAUCUAUCUAUCUAUCUAUCUCUUUGUCUCUAUAUAUUAUUAUGUAGCAUGACUUAUUUUGGAAUCAUAGCUCUUGUAAUCCAGUAAUUUUUCUGCAAUCAAUAAAAAUGAUGUUCUUUA